AACGUAGGAGACAAACGUUAUCCGGAGUUACUGGGCGUAAAGGGCGUGUAGGCGGUUUGUUAAGUCUGGCGUGAAAGCUCUCGGCUAAACCGGGAGAGGUCGUUGGAUACUGGCAAACUAGAGGAUGGUAGAGGCGUGUGGAAUUCCGGGUGUAGUGGUGAAAUGCAUAGAGAUCCGGAGGAACACCAGUGGCGAAGGCGACACGCUGGGCCAUACCUGACGCUAAAGCGCGACAGCAUGGGGAGCAAACGGG
rnacentral:rRNA from 1 species